GACGAACGCUGGCGGCGUGCCUAAUACAUGCAAGUCGAACGCUUCUUUUCCACCGGAGCUUGCUCCACCGGAAAAAGAAGAGUGGCGAACGGGUGAGUAACACGUGGGUAACCUGCCCAUCAGAAGGGGAUAACACUUGGAAACAGGUGCUAAUACCGUAUAACAAUCAAAACCGCAUGGUUUUGAUUUGAAAGGCGCUUUCGGGUGUCGCUGAUGGAUGGACCCGCGGUGCAUUAGCUAGUUGGUGAGGUAACGGCUCACCAAGGCCACGAUGCAUAGCCGACCUGAGAGGGUGAUCGGCCACAUUGGGACUGAGACACGGCCCAAACUCCUACGGGAGGCAGCAGUAGGGAAUCUUCGGCAAUGGACGAAAGUCUGACCGAGCAACGCCGCGUGAGUGAAGAAGGUUUUCGGAUCGUAAAACUCUGUUGUUAGAGAAGAACAAGGACGUUAGUAACUGAACGUCCCCUGACGGUAUCUAACCAGAAAGCCACGGCUAACUACGUGCCAGCAGCCGCGGUAAUACGUAGGUGGCAAGCGUUGUCCGGCAUUAUUGGGCGUAAAGCGAGC
rnacentral:rRNA from 1 species